rnacentral:rRNA from 1 species
CGUCGAGUGGCGAACGGGUGAGUAACACGUGGGUGAUCUGCCCUGCACUUCGGGAUAAGCCUGGGAAACUGGGUCUAAUACCGGAUAGGACGAUGGUUUGGAUGCCAUUGUGGAAAGUUUUUCGGUGUGGGAUGAGCUCGCGGCCUAUCAGCUUGUUGGUGGGGUAAUGGCCUACCAAGGCGUCGACGGGUAGCCGGCCUGAGAGGGUGUACGGCCACAUUGGGACUGAGAUACGGCCCAG